GCCUCAGGUCCAUCUGUGACUUAGACUGGGGUGUCCUUGAGGGCAGGGCGUGUGAGGUAGUCUUCUCUGCCUGCCUGUUUAUGUUUCUGGGUGCCUACCAUCCCCUAGACCGCUGUGCACACGAUCUGUCUGGCAAGAAGCUGAGAUCCAGAGGGCCAAACUCGACUUUGCAACAGGAAUUAGCAGCGGAGCUUAAAGUUGAGCAGGAGGAGAGCUGACAACCCGUGUCUCCACUCUCCUCUGCCCUCCCAGGAUGGCUGCAUUCUUUGACAUGAGACAGAGAUUUUCGACCUCUGGGGCCCAGCGGAAGCAUCUGCAGAAACUUUAGAAAAGUCUGUAUUUGCUUGCUCGGGCUGCCACUACAAAGCACCACACACAUUCUGUUUAAACAUCAGAAAUGUUUCUCCUUAUAGCUCUGGAGGCUGGAAGUUCGAGAUCAAGGUAUUGGCAGGGUUGUUUUCUCAGGAGGCCCGUUAGGGGUGGUAGAUAACGGUCUUCUCUUUUGGUCUUCCCACAGCCUUCCCUCUGAGCCUGUGUCCUAACCUCCUCUUCCUAUAAGAACACUGGUCGUGUUGGAUCAGAUCCCACUCUAGAGACCUCCUUUUACCUUAAUUAUGUCAUUGAAGACCCCAUUUCCAAAGACAGUCACAUUCUGAGAUCCCUAGGGAUUGGAACUUGAACAUACGAACUUUGGGGUGACACAGUUCAGCUCUUAACACUUUUCCCUCUGCCCCGCCCUUUAAUUCACGUCCUACCCACAUGCAAACUAAUACAUUCACCCUGUCCUCAAAGCGCUCAGAGGCUUAAUCCAUCCUGGCUUCAACUGGAAGUCCAAAAUCUUGGCUAAAUACCGUGUAAAGAUAGAGUUGGCGUUCAAGUUAGGAUUCAUCCUGAGGUAAAAUUCCUCUCUAGCUGUAAGCCCGUGAAAUCAGAGAAUUAUUUGUUUCCAAAACACAAGAGUGAGACAGGCAAUAGAGAGACGUCUCCUUCCAGAAUGGUUCCAUCAGAAAGAAGAAAGGGGUUACGGGUCUCAAGCAGGUCAAAAGCCUAGCAGAGAAAAAUUCCCUUUGAUUUUAGGGUGGAGAAAAAUCCCCUUUGGCUCCAUGUUCUGUGCUGUGGGCCCACCAGUUGUCUCCUGGUUCCCAGUUAGGAGCUUCUGUGAUGGUGUCUAGCGGUGUCCCACCAUUAUCCUAACCCGGGCGCCUGAAACCUCCGUAUACCACCAGCACGUCCCAGGUGUAUGGCAGCCCCACAGCCCUAAGAGGGAAGUUCGUAAGUCCCAGGAAGGUCACCUUUCCUGGCCCCCCAUCCUUGGAAGGAAUUCAAGGAGAGAAAAGCGCUUGUCCUCAUCUUCUGUGUAUUCCCGUCACCGGCACCAUGUCUGUCACACCAUACACUCGAG
ensembl:lincRNA